UACGAAGGGGGCUAGCGUUGCGCGGAAUCACUGGGCGUAAAGGGUGCGUAGGCGGGUUGUUAAGUCAGGGGGGAAAUCCUGGAGCUCAACUCCAGAACUGCCUUUGAUACUGAAGAUCUUGAGUCCGGGAGAGGUGAGUGGAACUGCGAGUGUAGAGGUGAAAUUCGUAGAUAUUCGCAAGAACACCAGUGGCGAAGGCGGCUCACUGGCCCGGUACUGACGCUGAGGCACGAAAGCGUGGGGAGCAAACAGG
rnacentral:rRNA from 1 species